UCUGGUGACUAUGGCAAGGAGGUCACACCUGUUCCCAUGCCGAACACAGAAGUUAAGCUCCUUAGCGCCGAUGGUAGUCGGACUUA
rnacentral:rRNA from 1 species